rnacentral:rRNA from 1 species
AUUGAACGCUGGCGGCAGGCCUAACACAUGCAAGUCGAGCGAGUGGCGGACGGGUGAGUAAUGUCUGGGAAACUGCCUGAUAGAGGGGGAUAACUACUGGAAACGGUGGCUAAUACCGCAUACCAUCAGAUGUGCCCACAUGGGAUUAGCUUGUUGGUGGGGUAACGGCUCACCAAGGCGACGAUCCCUAACUGGUCUGAGAGGAUGACCAGCCACACUGGAGCUGAGACACGGUCCAGACUCCUACGGGAGGCAGCAGUGGGGAAUAUUGCACAAUGGGCGCAAGCCUGAUGCAGCCAUGCCGCGUGUAUGAAGAAGGCCUUCGGGUUGUAAAGUACUUUCAGCGGGGAGGCGUUACCCGCAGAAGAAGCGCCGGCUAACUCCGUGCCAGCAGCCGCGGUAAUAC